AAUCCGUCGACUUUUGAAAUCGUGAGGGU
rnacentral:tRNA from 1 species